rnacentral:rRNA from 1 species
GAGUGGCGGACGGGUGAGUAACACGUGGGUAACCUACCCAUCAGAGGGGGAUAACACUUGGAAACAGGUGCUAAUACCGCAUAACAGUUUAUGCCGCAUGGCAUAAGAGUGAAAGGCGCUUUCGGGUGUCGCUGAUGGAUGGACCCGCGGUGCAUUAGCUAGUUGGUGAGGUAACGGCUCACCAAGGCCACGAUGCAUAGCCGACCUGAGAGGGUGAUCGGCCACACUGGGACUGAGACACGGYCCAGACUCCUACGGGAGGCAGCAGUAGGGAAUCUUCGGCAAUGGACGAAAGUCUGACCGAGCAACGCCGCGUGAGUGAAGAAGGUUUUCGGAUCGUAAAACUCUGUUGUUAGAGAAGAACAAGGACGUUAGUAACUGAACGUCCCCUGACGGUAUCUAACCAGAAAGCCACGGCUAACUACGUGCCAGCAGCCGCGGUAAUACGUAGGUGGCAAGCGUUGUCCGGAUUUAUUGGGCGUAAAGCGAGCGCAGGCGGUUUCUUAAGUCUGAUGUGAAAGCCCCCGGCUCAACCGGGGAGGGUCAUUGGAAACUGGGAGACUUGAGUGCAGAAGAGGAGAGUGGAAUUCCAUGUGUAGCGGUGAAAUGCGUAGAUAUAUGGAGGAACACCAGUGGCGAAGGCGGCUCUCUGGUCUGUAACUGACGCUGAGGCUCGAAAGCGUGGGGAGCAAACAGGAUUAGAUACCCUGGUAGUCCACGCCGUAAACGAUGAGUGCUAAGUGUUGGAGGGUUUCCGCCCUUCAGUGCUGCAGCAAACGCAUUAAGCACUCCGCCUGGGGAGUACGACCGCAAGGUUGAAACUCAAAGGAAUUGACGGGGGCCCGCACAAGCGSUGGAGCAUGUGGUUUAAUUCGAAGCAACGCGAAGAACCUUACCAGGUCUUGACAUCCUUKGACCACUCUAGAGAUAGAGCUUUCCCUUC